CUCUUUUUUCCCAAACCCCUUUUUCAUUUUCAGAAACCCAUCUCUCUCGCUUAAUCAAAACCUAUUUUUCCUAUUCACUUAAUCUCUUUAUUUCCUCCGAUUUCAAGCCCAUUUCUUCUUCAUUUCCUCCAAUUUCAAGCCCGUGUAGCUCUCUGCUUUUCUUCAGCAAAGCAAAAUUCCAAAUACAAUAGCUCUCUACUUUUCUUCAGCGCCUCCUCUGUUGCAACAUGAAAGAUAUAUGAAAGAAAACUUCAGAUCUAUCAAUCAAUUGGAUAAUCGGUGUAUUUUGAAGAGAUUAACUAGAAUCAGUAUAUUUUGAAUCGACAGAAAUUUGGUAGUAUCGGCUGAAAUUUGGUAGAAUCGGUGUAUUUUGAAGAAAGAUAUAAUACUUUUUGUUGAAAUCGAGAUAUAAGUCCUCUUUCUCCUUUUGCAUUAGAUCUCCUGGGGACCUUCAGAGAAGACGCAAUUGUCGCCGGCUACUUUUCCAAUCAGUCUCAAGAUUCGCAAGGAGCUAGCAAGAUACUUAAAGUGAAGAAAAGGGACGUGUUAAAUUUAUCUAAUGGAGAACGCAUUGUGGUUGAUUUUGAUGACAUGGAUUCUCCCAUUGCUGAAGGACAAGGCGUUCUUGUAGGCUUUUGCGGAAUUUUAGCAACCGACUGCUCCAUUUUUCUAAUUCACUUUGAGAAAUGACCAGAUUUACCCGUGACAAUCUUCAACUGUUGCUAUGAUCGAUUUAUAAAGCCUCGAUUUUAUUUUAGGAUAACAGAGUCAAAUGCAAGACGAUAUGUUUACAAUUCUAUGUGUAAGAAGUGGGGCGCAAAAAGGCUAAAGUUGUUUGAUAAGGUCUAUGAUCCACUUAAGAGCAGAGUUGAGAUAAUGGAUGGUGUUCCACUGGUGAUUCCAUCGGAUCAAUGGAUCUCUUAUGUUGAUUACCGUUUUAAAGGAAAAAACACAGGAAACUUGUAAAAGAAAUGCUGAAAUUCGGAAGAAACAAACUGUUUCACAUAUCGGUGGCUCCAAACCUAACUCCAGAAGAAGGGCUGAAAUGAUGGCUGAGACUAGACAAAAGCCUGGACGAGGAUAGCUUUAUCUCGCUACACAUAGGAAUGAAGAUGGAUCAUAUGUUAAUGAGGCGGCAAAAGAGAUAUGUGAAAAAAUUGAACUAGAAUUGAACCAAAGCACCAUGGAUGAGUAUGAAAUUUCGCCAAAUGAUGAUGUUGGUAAGGUGUUGGGAAAAGAGCACUCGGGAACUGUAAGGUGCUUAGGAUUAGGAGCUGUUCCUGGCAGAGCUUUUAGACAAACAAGACCUCGUUAUAGUGAUUUGAAUGCUUCAAGUUAUAAUAAUGGUUCGUGUUCUUCCUAAUGCCAAGAGAAGUACAAUCAAAUGUUGAAUGCCCACAAUCAAAGCUAAGAGAACUACAAAGAAAUGAUGAAUGUUAACACGCAAAUGAUGAAUGCUUUUAAGGCAUAUAUGAUAAGGGAUAUUUGUUUCUCCUCCUCGUUCAACGCCAAGUGAUGCGGCUAGCGGACCCAUUGUACCCAUUGAUAUAAGAUCAUCCGGUGAAAGUAAUCCUAACAACAACCAUUGAAGUUGCUUUCAAAUGUAUUAGAUAAUUAAGUAUCACACUUGAUUGAAUGGUCAUAGUAGAUCUUUUGUCCAUAAUGGUUGGACUGGAUGUUCUGUUUAAUGUUAGUUUUAAGACUAAUUAUAAUAUUGAUGUUUUGUGUUUAA